AAAUGAAUAGACGGGGGCCCGCACAAGCGGUGGAGCAUGUGGUUUAAUUCGAUGCAACGCGAAGAACCUUACCAGGGUUUGACAUGCUGGUGGUAGAAGCCUGAAAGGGUGACGACCUUCGGUUUUCCGAGGGAGCCAGCACAGGUGCUGCAUGGUUGUCGUCAGCUCGUGUCGUGAGAUGUUGGGUUAAGUCCCGCAACGAGCGCAACCCUUACCCUUAGUUGCGACCAGGUAAUGCUUGAGCACUCUAAGGGGACUGCCGGUGACAAACCGGAGGAAGGUGGGGAUGACGUCAAAUCCGCAUGGCCCUUAUGUCCUGGGCGACACACGUGCUACAAUGGCCAGUACAGAGGGUUGCGAACCCGCGAGGGGGAGCCAAUCCCAAAAAGCUGGCCCCAGUUGGGAUUGCAGGCUGCAACUCGCCUGCAUGAACGCGGAAUCGCUAGUAAUCGCGUAUCAGCUACGGCGCGGUGAAUGCGUUCCCGGGCCUUGUACACACCGCCCGU
rnacentral:rRNA from 1 species